ACUCAAAGGAGACUGCCAGUGAUAAACUGGAGGAAGGUGGGGAUGACGUCAAGUCAUCAUGGCCCUUACGACCAGGGCUACACACGUGCUACAAUGGCGCAUACAAAGAGAAGCGACCUCGCGAGAGUAAGCGGACCUCAUAAAGUGCGUCGUAGUCCGGAUUGGAGUCUGCAACUCGACUCCAUGAAGUCGGAAUCGCUAGUAAUCGUGGAUCAGAAUGCCACGGUGAAUACGUUCCCGGGCCUUGUACACACC
rnacentral:rRNA from 1 species